CCGACCCAAUCCAAGAACGAGAACUCGACGCCGGGAAUGCCGUUGCGCAACCACGGGACGGCAGCGGUCCUCGCGCGGCUCGCGGUCGCCUGCGACGGCGCCAUCCUCGGCCUCGCACUCGCCGCGGUGUCAGCAGCCUCCUGGGUCAAGUACGCCACCACCUCCGCUGCCCUCGACCGCAUCAGCUGCGCUCCCUCCGCCCCCAUCUCUGGCCUCCGUGCUAUCCUCUCCUCCGCGGACUACUUGAACGAAGAUCCUCUCCUCGUCGUCGUUCGAGGCCGGGUCCAGCCCAGCUCCGCCGUCGAGGCUCUCAGCGACGGUGCGGUUUCCGAGACAAACGGCGUCCUCACCCCUCGGGGCUCCGACGAGAUGGCCGUCGCCAUCCUCAACACCCAAAUGUGUUUGUACAAUGAAUGGAGGGGAAUGUUCAGAUGGAAUUUUGAUCUCCAUGCACUGUUUGCAAAAUCUUUGAAGGAACAAAGGUCAAGCUCAAGCUUAUUGAAAUCGGUUUCGUUUGUUCUUGUUGAAGCCGGUGACUGGCCUAAUUCUGGUUAUGUUCAUGUUAAUUUGGAUGGGUCAGCCCACCCACUACCUCUCACUACAGUUUAUCAUGAGCUGCACCCUAUUCAAGUUCCUCCAUUCACAUUCUUCCAGGUCUUCUUUGGUUCUGGAUAUCCUGUGGCUUUGUUGGAUGAAGAAAAAAUCCUUCCAGUUGGAAAGGAGAUUACUGCAAUUGGCAUUUGCAGACCAAGAGAUGAAGCUAUUGAGAUAAAAUCAUGCCAGGAGCUUCCUUGUUUCUUGUCUGACAUGACAAAGGAUGAAAUUGUGGCUGAGCUUAAUUUCGAUGCUGGAGUCCUGUUCUGGAGUGGCAUUUUGCUUGGAAUUCUGUCUGUUGGUAUAUUAGGUUAUGCCGUCAUUAGGAACUGGUGGAAAUGGAAAGAGUGGAGACUGAGGAGAAGAAGACAGAAUGAGGACUUAAAUAAUGAGGCUUUGUCCAGGAGCAGCAUGGAACAGGAGGAUGUACCGGAUGGGGAACUUUGUGUCAUCUGCUUAUCAAGACGAAGAAGAACUGCAUUUGUUCCUUGUGGGCAUCUUGUUUGUUGUCCACACUGUGCAACAUCUGUGGUGCAUGACUCCUCACCAAAGUGUCCUUUGUGUUGUCAAGAUGUUCGGUCUUCCAUUAGAAUAUAUGAAUCUUGAGGAACACGAACUCUUUGGAUCUCAUUUUUGGGUAACCAAUUGGACAGAUAUGGAUGUAGAAUGGCUAGAAGAUUGGAAACACAAGAUUAUCCGAGCCUAGAAUCAGACGAUGCAGGAUUCUUUUAUGUUCACUUUUACGGCUGGUUAAUGCUUCUGACUGUUUGUUCGCUAACCUGCUGUUUGGAAGGAACAUCAUACAUGAUUACUGAUCAGAAUAGUCCUUAACUUAUGGGGCCAGCAGUUCGUGAAGGUUUCCAACUCAAAAGAUAGGUGAUCUCAGUGAUGCUGUACAUAAAUUAUCUGCUAAAUUUUGUAAUUGAUAACUACACUGUUGAACUUUUUUAGUUUCCUGUUUCAACCGGAUGAGAGGCAUUUCUGCCAGGUGAUAACAUUUUUUUUUUACCGUAUGAUGUAACCAUACGACCACCAUGUUAUAGGAUACUGUUCAUCUCAAGUUUGUCACAAACAUUAUUUCAUAUACCGUUCAUCUCAUAUAUGAUGUUCUCU